ACUCACGUAUAACUGGAUCUUGUUAAAAUACAGAUUCUGAAUCAGUUGAUCAGGGAUGGUGCCUGAGAAUAUAUAUUUCCAACAUGUUCCCAGAUGAUACUAAU
rnacentral:pre_miRNA from 1 species